UAGGGAAUCUUCCACAAUGGACGCAAGUCUGAUGGAGCAACGCCGCGUGAGUGAAGAAGGUUUUCGUAUCGUAAAGCUCUGUUGUUGGUGAAGAAGGAUAGAGGCAGUAACUGGUCUUUAUUUGACGGUAAUCAACCAGAAAGUCACGGCUAACUACGUGCCAGCAGCCGCGGUAAUACGUAGGUGGCAAGCGUUGUCCGGAUUUAUUGGGCGUAAAGCGAGCGCAGGCGGAAUGAUAAGUCUGAUGUGAAAGCCCACGGCUCAACCGUGGAACUGCAUCGGAAACUGUCAUUCUUGAGUGCAGAAGAGGAGAGUGGAAUUCCAUGUGUAGCGGUGGAAUGCGUAGAUAUAUGGAAGAACACCAGUGGCGAAGGCGGCUCUCUGGUCUGCAACUGACGCUGAGGCUCGAAAGCAUGGGUAGCGAACAGG
rnacentral:rRNA from 1 species